rnacentral:rRNA from 1 species
GACGAACGCUGGCGGCGUGCUUAACACAUGCAAGUCGAACGGAAAGGCCUCUUUCGGGGGGUACUCGAGUGGCGAACGGGUGAGUAACACGUGAGUAGCCUGCCCUUGACUUUGGGAUAACUUCAGGAAACUGGGGCUAAUACCGGAUAGGAGCUCCUGCUGCAUGGUGGGGGUUGGAAAGUUUCGGCGGUUGGGGAUGGACUCGCGGCUUAUCAGCUUGUUGGUGGGGUAGUGGCUUACCAAGGCUUUGACGGGUAGCCGGCCCGAGAGGGUGACCGGCCACAUUGGGACUGAGAUACGGCCCAGACUCCUACGGGAGGCAGCAGUGGGGAAUAUUGCACAAUGGGUGGAAGCCUGAUGCAGCAACGCCGUGUGCGGGAUGACGGCCUUCGGGUUGUAAACCGCUUUCGCUCAUGACGAAGCUUUGUGUGACGGUAGUGGGUAAAGAAGCACCGGCUAACUACGUG